ACUUCAUGGAUCAACUCACUGCCGACGAAAUCGUUUUCCAUAAGUCCUGCUUCAAGUGCAAUAACUACAAAGGAACCCUCACGCUCGAUAGGAUCAUCUGCAACCACUUCAACGUUGAGGUGAUGAUGAUGAUGGGAGGCUAUAAUAUUUUGGCUCUAUUGGAUUUCAACUUUCUUAAUUCUGAUGGAAUAUUGCUAGGUAUGAUAAUUAACCACUAUCAGUUGAAUAAGUUAAAUCACGUUAUGAAAAAUUUCAAUCAUUUUUGUAGAAAGCGGUUGGUAAUUGCAUAAAUAAUGAUUUAACAUUAGAAGAGUUUUUCUACUCUUCAUCUUUUGUUUCUUUAAUGGAAGGUGUUUUGUAUUGUAAGCCUCACUUUGAACAACUCUUCAAGGAAUCUGGCAACUUCAACAGAAUUUUCAAUCACUGUCUUUUCAGAUAUUUUGAAUGGUAAAUGGAGAUAUUCAGAAACUCCAACUAAAUAGCUCGGAUAUGGAUGAUUAUAGGAGCAGCAACUACAUGCUAUGUGGCACUGCAUCCAAAUUUCAAGGGUGUGAUUGGAAAGUACUUCGACGAAGAACUAUUAAGAAGACUUUGGGAUUUAAACAAGAAGAUGGUUAAAGCCAAUGAGUAAAGAACAUUCAAGUCAAGAGGAUAAGUAGCAUCCAUCAAGAUUCUUUAAAUUCAUGCAAUAAGAUGUAGUCAAUAGGAGUAGUUUUGAGUGUUUCCUAAUUAAAAUUUCUUUGUAUGCAAGUAAUUAUGUUUGUUAUAGAUGUGUAAGGAUGAUAAUUUCUAUAU